rnacentral:rRNA from 1 species
UUCCCUUCGGGGACAUUGGUGACAGGUGGUGCAUGGUUGUCGUCAGCUCGUGUCGUGAGAUGUUGGGUUAAGUCCCGCAACGAGCGCAACCCUUGUCUUUAGUUGCCAUCAUUCAGUUGGGCACUCUAGAGAGACUGCCAGGGAUAACCUGGAGGAAGGUGGGGAUGACGUCAAAUCAUCAUGCCCCUUAUGCUUAGGGCUACACACGUGCUACAAUGGGUAGUACAGAGGGUUGCCAAGCCGUAAGGUGGAGCUAAUCCCUUAAAGCUACUCUCAGUUCGGAUUGUAGGCUGAAACUCGCCUACAUGAAGCUGGAGUUACUAGUAAUCGCAGAUCAGAAUGCUGCGGUGAAUGCGUUCCCGGGUCUUGUACACACCGCCCGUCACACCACGGGAGUUGGAGACGCCCGAAGCCGA